CCUACGGGAGGCUGCAGUCGAGAAUCAUUCACAAUGGGGGAAACCCUGAUGGUGCGACGCCGCGUGGGGGAAUGAAGGUCUUCGGAUUGUAAACUCCUGUCAUGUGGGAGCAAAUUAACAAGAUAGUACCACAAGAGGAAGAGACGGUUAACUCUGUGCCAGCAGCUGCGGUAAUACAGAGGUCUCAAGCGUUGUUCGGAUUCACUGGGCGUAAAGGGUGCGUAGGCGGAGUCGUAAGUCGUGUGUGAAAGGCGCGGGCUCAACCGGCGGACGGCACAUGAUACUGCGAGACUAGAGUAAUGGAGGGGGAAGCGGAAUUCUCGGUGUAGCAGUGAAAUGCGUAGAUAUCGAGAGGAACACUCGUGGCGAAGGCGGGUUCCUGGACAUUAACUGACGCUGAGGCACGAAGGCCAGGGGAGCGAAAGGGAUUAGAUACCCGGGUAGUC
rnacentral:rRNA from 1 species